rnacentral:rRNA from 1 species
GGGCCCGCACAAGCGGUGGAGCAUGUGGUUUAAUUCGAUGAUACGCGAGGAACCUUACCAGGACUUAAAUGUAAGUUGCAUGAUUCAGAAAUGAAUCUUUCUUCGGACACUUAACAAGGUGCUGCAUGGUUGUCGUCAGCUCGUGCCGUGAGGUGUCAGGUUAAGUCCUAUAACGAGCGCAACCCCUGUUGUUAGUUGCCAGCGAGUAAUGUCGGGAACUCUAGCAAGACUGCCAGUGCAAACUGUGAGGAAGGUGGGGAUGACGUCAAAUCAUCACGGCCCUUACGUCCUGGCUACACACGUGCUACAAUGGUAGGUACAAUGGGUCGCCACCCAGCGAUGGGGCGCA